ACAACCUAUAUGGAACAUAUGCAGAGUUGUUCCUUUCUGUUUAUGGAUAUUUGUUUCCUCAUUUGACACAAGUUAUCCCUAUAAAAUGGCUGUGGUACAGUCCAAAGCUCAAAAACAAACUAAACUCUGCCUAGUAAUCAGAUCUGAAGUUUUUGGAGAAUAACCCUCUGCAAUUCUCCUAUGGCAAUGAAGAAGGUGGUUUUCUUCAUUCUACUCAUGGUUUUUGCAACUGAGUUCACAGAAUGUUGUGAGAACGAUACAGUAUGUAAAGCUGGAGUUGUUCCAAAUCCAGGAUGUUGCUAUAAAUAUGUACCAUCAUUGGAAAGGUGCAAAAUAGUGUGUGGUCCAAAGUCUGUUGGACUGCCAUCAUGUGUGACCGUGAAGGAUUGUUAUGCACAUAAGAAACCUCAGCCAGACUAUACAUUGAUAUGCAAUUCGAAAGGACAGUGCGAAGAACAUCGUGGUGGCAAUUAGAAAAAUUUGAUAACUGAAGUUGACAAAGGGUUAGUCUUUGGUUCUAUUCCCGAGGGUUGUUUGUGAAUUUCAAAAAUAAUGAUAAUAAUGAAUGAAUAAAAAUAUAACUUUUCUAUUCC